rnacentral:rRNA from 1 species
GAUGAACGCUGGCGGCGUGCCUAAUACAUGCAAGUCGAGCGAAUGGAUUAAGAGCUUGCUCUUAUGAAGUUAGCGGCGGACGGGUGAGUAACACGUGGGUAACCUGCCCAUAAGACUGGGAUAACUCCGGGAAACCGGGGCUAAUACCGGAUAACAUUUUGAACCGCAUGGUUCGAAAUUGAAAGGCGGCUUCGGCUGUCACCUAUGGAUGGACCCGCGUCGCAUUAGCUAGUUGGUGAGGUAACGGCUCACCAAGGCAACGAUGCGUAGCCGACCUGAGAGGGUGAUCGGCCACACUGGGACGGAGACACGGCCCAGAAUCCUACGGGAGGCAGCAGUAGGGAAUCUUCCGCAAUGGACGAAAGUCUGACGGGGCAACGCCGCGUGAGUGAUGAAGGCUUUCGGGUCGUAAAACUCUGUUGUUAGGGAAGAACAAGUGCUAGUUGAAUAAGCUGGCACCUUGACGGUACCUAACCAGAAAGCCACGGCUAACUACGUGCCAGCCGCCGCGGUAA